CGUCCCACCCAUUUUUGCGACUUUUUGACCAUUUUUGUCACAUUUUUUUUACACUUUACAAAGCAGUGAUUUUACCACAGUUUACCUGAUUUACCUGGAGAGAAGGGGAUCUAGAUCACUAGUGCUCAGUCCUGUGGACCUUAGUGUGGUCUAUGCAGAUGAAGAGAGACCAGAGUCUAGAGGAGUCUAGUCCUGAGCUAAGAGACUAGCAGAGCCACUUUAACAUCUAAAAAUCCUGAUUUAGUCUCAAACAUGCUUUAAUAUAAACGCUGAUGUUCGAUCAACAGAAUAAACCUUGGGGGCUGAGAGAGCGAGGAAUGAUGAGCCGUCCAUGAACGAGCCUGUUCUACUAAACGACUCUUUAAUGUGAGCCACUGUAGCUAGCUCCUGUUUGAGUGCCAGUUUCCUUUCCUCCUUCCUUUGUCCUUAUUUAAUCCACAUUUAAAAAGCAGAACUGGUACCAGAUGAAGAACCAGCUCUACUGAGCUGAGCCACAUGAUCUGGAUCUCUAAAGAGAGACACAUUUCCCGUCACAGUGAGAGAGACUAGACGGACAUCAGCUGAGGAAACACGAGUAAGAUCAGAGUCUAAUGAGCUAAACCAGGACUGGACUGAACCAAACUGGACCACACAGGAGUUUUGGGGACAACGCUAAUCCAGGCUUUAGACAGAGGAUUUUUAAUUCCUGCCUGCUGACAUUUCUCUGUGACUUUCUUUAAGCUCUUUAUUUUUUCCUGAAUAUUUCUCUACUUUCAAACACAAGGGUAGUUCAAGAAUGAAGAAUGUUUUUAUUUUCACACGUUGAACCCUUGACAAAGUCAUAAACAGCUCAAACGUGACCUUUUGGUAGAGUUUCUCUCUGUAUAAUCACACUCUGCUGCAAAGAACCUACAGAGGCCAACUGAAAGGGGUCAUAUCAGCGCUUCCAUCAAUAAAGUGAUGCUAUUUCAGUGCUUGUAUUCUGGGAAAAUCAUCUAACAGCUGUAGUUUCACUACAGCUCCACUUAACUGUGCAUGUAAAUGUACUGUUGGGACUCUGCUGAAGUCUGGAUCAUCGUUCAUGUAUUUGAAGAAAGUUGACACCACACAGAAUCCUUAAGGAAGAGUCAAAGUUAACUUCCUGUUUAGACAUGGAGAUGUGGUGUUUUUUGUCGUUUUAUUAUCUUAUUUUGGUUAGCUUCCAGUUCCGGAGGCUGUUUCUGGCUGCUAACUUUCUUUGCUUUCCCUGAGGCAUUCACCCCUCCCCCCCUGGUGCUGUGGAGAGCGCACACCUGCAACGAAUCACUCAUCGAGGAUCACUAUUUAGGACCUGCUGCAGCUCUCUUCAGCGCCUGAGUCUUGCCAACCUUACCUUACGUGCCUCCUGCCCUGAUCACCGCAGCCAGCUCCAGCACACUCUCACUUUCCCUUGGACUCCUGAGAUCCCCCCUCCCUUUGUCACUUACCUGCACAAUAAAUCUGUUAAAUCUGC